CAGGGAUUGCCCUAGUAACGGCGAGUGAAGCGGCAACAGCUCAAAUUUGAAAUCUGGCCUUCGGGUCCGAGUUGUAAUUUGUAGAGGAUGCUUUUGGUGAGGUGCCUUCCGAGUUCCCUGGAACGGGACGCCAUAGAGGGUGAGAGCCCCGUCUGGUUGGACACCGAUCCUCUGUAAAGCUCCUUCGACGAGUCGAGUAGUUUGGGAAUGCUGCUCUAAAUGGGAGGUAUAUGUCUUCUAAAGCUAAAUAUUGGCCAGAGACCGAUAGCGCACAAGUAGAGUGAUCGAAAGAUGAAAAGCACUUUGAAAAGAGAGUUAAAAAGUACGUGAAAUUGUUGAAAGGGAAGCGCUCAUGACCAGACUUGGGCUUGGUUGAUCAUCCAGGGUUCUCCCUGGUGCACUCUUCCAGUUCAGGCCAGCAUCAGUUCGCUGUGGGGGAUAAAGGCUUUGGGAAUGUGGCUCCCUCGGGAGUGUUAUAGCCCAUUGUGUAAUACCCUGUGGUGGACUGAGGUUCGCGCAUUCGCAAGGAUGCUGGCGUAAUGGUCAUCAGCGACCCGUCUUGAAACACGGACCAAGGAGUCGUCUUCGUAUGCGAGUGUUCGGGUGUUAAACCCCUACGCGUAAUGAAAGUGAACGCAGGUGAGAGCUUCGGCGCAUCAUCGACCGAUCCUGAUGUUCUCGGAUGGAUUUGAGUAAGAGCAUACGGGGCCGGACCCGAAAGAAGGUGAACUAUGCCUGUAUAGGGUGAAGCCAGAGGAAACUCUGGUGGAGGCUCGCAGCGGUUCUGACGUGCAAAUCGAUCGUCAAAUAUGGGCAUGGG
rnacentral:rRNA from 1 species